AUUGAACGCUGGCGGCAGGCCUAACACAUGCAAGUCGAACGAGUGGCGGACGGGUGAGUAAUGUCUGGGAAACUGCCCGAUGGAGGGGGAUAACUACUGGAAACGUUAGCUAAUACCGCAUACCAUCAGAUUUGCCCAGAUGGGAUUAGCUGGUCGGUGGGGUAAUGGCUCACCUAGGCGACGAUCCCUAGCUGGUCUGAGAGGAUGACCAGCCACACGGGAACGGAGACACGGUCCAGACUCCUACGGGAGGCAGCAGUGGGGAAUAUUGCACAAUGGGCGCAAGCCUGAUACAGCCAUGCCGCGUGUAUGAAGAAGGCCUUCGGGUUGUAAAGUACUUUCAGCGAGGAGGCGUUACUCGCAGAAGAAGCACCGGCUAACUCCGUGCCAGCAGCCGCGGUAAUUC
rnacentral:rRNA from 1 species